rnacentral:rRNA from 1 species
GGUCUCUGCAAAACCGUAAGGUGACGUAUAGGGGCUGACGCCUGCCCGGUGCUGGAAGGUUAAGAGGAGUGCUUAGCUUCGGCGAAGGUACGAAUUGAAGCCCCAGUAAACGGCGGCCGUAACUAUAACGGUCCUAAGGUAGCGAAAUUCCUUGUCGGGUAAGUUCCGACCUGCACGAAUGGCGUAAUGAUGGCCAGGCUGUCUCCACCCGAGACUCAGUGAAAUUGAACUCGCUGUGAAGAUGCAGUGUACCCGCGGCAAGACGGAAAGACCCCGUGAACCUUUACUAUAGCUUGACACUGAACAUUGAGCCUUGAUGUGUAGGAUAGGUGGGAGGCUUUGAAGUGUGGACGCCAGUCUGCAUGGAGCCGACCUUGAAAUACCACCCUUUAAUGUUUGAUGUUCUAACGUUGACCCGUAAUCCGGGUUGCGGACAGUGUCUGGUGGGUAGUUUGACUGGGGCGGUCUCCUCCUAAAGAGUAACGGAGGAGCACGAAGGUUGGCUAAUCCUGGUCGGACAUCAGGAGGUUAGUGCAAUGGCAUAAGCCAGCUUGACUGCGAGCGUGACGGCGCGAGCAGGUGCGAAAGCAGGUCAUAGUGAUCCGGUGGUUCUGAAUGGAAGGGCCAUCGCUCAACGGAUAAAAGGUACUCCGGGGAUAACAGGCUGAUACCGCCCAAGAGUUCAUAUCGACGGCGGUGUUUGGCACCUCGAUGUCGGCUCAUCACAUCCUGGGGCUGAAGUAGGUCCCAAGGGUAUGGCUGUUCGCCAUUUAAAGUGGUACGCGAGCUGGGUUUAGAACGUCGUGAGACAGUUCGGUCCCUAUCUGCCGUGGGCGCUGGAGAACUGAGGGGGGCUGCUCCUAGUACGAGAGGACCGGAGUGGACGCAUCACUGGUGUUCGGGUUGUCAUGCCAAUGGCACUGCCCGGUAGCUAAAUGCGGAAGAGAUAAGUGCUGAAAGCAUCUAAGCACGAAACUUGCCCCGAGAUGAGUUCUCCCUGACCCUUUAAGGGUCCUGAAGGAACGUUGAAGACGACGACGUUGAUAGGCCGG